rnacentral:lncRNA from 1 species
GUGGUGAACGUCCGACAUACCGCUCCUGUCACACCACGUACUCCCGCAGGAUGCUGGCUAUAUCUUUGGGCUCCAGAGCCUGAUAGACAUUGUCACAGAGAUAAGUGAGGAGAGUGGAGAGUGAACUUGCUGGUUGUUCCAGUACUUGAGAGAGACUCUGUGUCCCAGACACAGCUGUGCUGCGUCAGGGAGGAGGCCAGUAUGGCCAGGUAGGGGUCCCUGCAGCCUGGAGCUGAUGUGCAGUGGCCUCUCUGAGCCCCAACCCGAGCCCGCUCCAGCUGCACUCGGGAGUCUUUAUUUAUUUUAACUAUUUCUUCAACAUUCCACAUUUGAUGAUGCAGAUACCUCUUUGUUCCCUGAGUGUAAACGUUCUAAUACAGAUCUUUUUGUUUAUUGUAUCCA